UUUAUUUAGAUUUUUAAGCUAACGCUAUAAGCACUCCGCCUGAGAAGUACGAUCGCAAGGUUGGAACUCAAAGGAAUUGACGGGGGCUAAUACUAGUGGUGGAGCAUGUGGUUUAAUGCGAUAAUCCGCGCAAAACCUUACCAGUUCUUGACAUAAAAACUAAUUUUUAAUUGUCACAGUAAUUCAGUUAAAAAUUAACUUUUACAGGUGUUGCACGACUGUCGUCAGCUCGUGUCGUGAGAUGUUUGGUUUAUUCCCUUAACGGGCGUAACUCUUUUCCUUAAAGUUAAAAAUUAUUAAGUUUUUAAGAACAGUUUUAAGGAUACUGACAACGAUAAGUUGUAGGAAGGUGAGAACUAAGUCAAGUCAAUGUGACCCUGAUGAACUGGGCUACACACGUGCUACAAUGGAAAUUACAAAAAGUAAUUUAAAAAUUAAUCUACAAAAAUUUCCCCAGUUCGGAUUGAAGGCUGAAACUCGCCUUCAUGAAGUUGGAAUCACUAGUAAUCGCAAAUCAGAAUGUUGCGGUGAAUAAGUCAAUUAGCCUUGUACACACCGCCCGUCACAUGCAGAGAGUCAGUUUUGCUUGAAG
rnacentral:rRNA from 1 species